CGCGGAAAAACACAAGAUGGCGGUGCUGGCAGACGGCCAAGUCCCAGGCAGCGCCGCCGCCAUUAGACCCCCCCUCCCCUCCGGUGUGCUCUCUGUCGCGCUCUGAAGGGCCCGGCCACGGCUGUGGGGGAGCGGCCAGGAGAGCAUCCGAGGAGACGUCCUAGACGUGAAGAUCACCCUUAUCACCUUGCUGUGAGGAGAAACCCUUUAUCCCAGACUGGUACUGUGGGCAGUCAUGGUUUACCUCCUGACCCAUAAGAUUGCUACAUGUGGAUCUAUGAAUCUGAGCUUCUGCGGUUGCACCUAUACAAAGAAGUGAAAUCUCCGUCUUGCCAAGAUGGAGUAAUUUCUGCCUGGAUGGCAUUAAAGCAUCAGAGCAUGAACUGUGGAAUGAAAUACAGCAACACAAUCAAUGCCAUGAACUGCAGUGACUGAAUCAAGAGGCUUCUGGAUCAAGGGAGAAGGCUCCAAUCUACUGACAUUUUGCUUCUCCCAUCAACAUGUUGAAUUAUUAAUUCUUUGGCCAAGAACAAAAUUAAAUGUUGGACUUCUGAUAUUUAUGAUUGGAUUGAUGAUACCUAUGCUUGACACAUUAUGAACAUGACUGGGAUGGCUAAAAUGCAGUCUGGCCAUAUCCGGCCCACGGAUUUUCCAAUGUGGCUCAAGGCCACUCUUAUUGUAAUAUGGAGAUUCCAACCUAAACCACAUGUGGCAGCAUUCAAUGCUUCUUUCAUCUCUGUGCUUGCCACUCAGAAAGCAAGAGAACUGCAUUCCAGGGCAUGUAACCUCUGCUUGGGUUGCUCAGAUCAAGGUAAAGUAUUUCAUGUUGAUACUUGUCACCUCUGUGUUAGCUGCUUAGGUAAAGAGGGAGAAUUGCAUGUUGGGACAUAUCUAUAUUAAAAAUGAGACUGGUUUCAGUUUAUUCCAUUUCAGGCAAAUUAGAUACUGCCCUGAAGAUACUGGCAAGAUGCCAAUGUGACAUUUUGUUAGAGAAAUUUUGCAUUCCCCUGGAUUGGAGAAACUACCAGAAUGCAAUCCUGUGAUUCUUUAAAGUGGCCACUAGAUGUCACCCUUGCACCAUCAAAACAAGCUGGUAGUGCAUUUAUCCGCCAUCCAGCUCUCCUGCCAAUCUCCCAGGUCCUGAACUGAGAUUCUGCUGAUUCCAGAAAUGAAACUUGGAGCUUAAUGUGUGUUGUCUUGCAUACACAGAAUCCCCAUUUAGUCACUUUCCCUGUGUCAGUUAGUUUUCCUGCAGGGACUCAAAGUUGCUCACCAUCUCAAGCUGAGAUAGGAGUAGUGACUUGACUGAGGUUCACCGGUAUACCAGUGUGUGCAGGGAAGAAUACCACUGUGCCAGGCUAUGUAGCAGCUGUGUGUGUGGACCCCUUCCUGAAUCUUGUCUGUACUAUGACUUCCCAGUUUGGACCACUCUUUCUAAAUUCUAUAAACAUCAAAUUAAUUUCCAAAAGCCAACAGGGAAGCCAACAGUUCCAUGCAGGUUCAGGCAAGGGAAUGCUGUACUUCAUUCUCCAUUGCAAAUGGCGCCACCUUCCAGUUACGUCAGGUGUAAAUUCCAAGUGUGAACUUGGGUCAGAGCAGUCUGUCCUCCACAAGCUGUACCAGGCAUUUACAUUAAAGCUAAGCGCUCUUCCCACUGGGGAUCCCUUUAAAAUUAGUAGUGGCAUUAAUGCCAGCUGCUGCUGAGCUGUGAUUUCCUCUGACUGUGUCCAAGAAGGCCAACGAACAAGACAUCUGAGAACAAUUUGUCUUUUAUAAUCUUAAACAAACUCAAACAACCAUGGAAGCACAUGAGUUGAUCAAUGACCCCUGGUUUAGAGUCCCUGCACCCCGUGAGCAAGCACUCAUCUGUGAAAAACACCAGCCUCUGUAAAACUUAACGACCCUGUUGGAACAAAGAGGGUCUGGGACAGGUGUAUAAUGCACACUGGUCUUGAAUUAGCUGCUGCAUGACAAAGAAUUGCAAUACUGUACAUCACCUCAUUGCCAACACUUACAGGACUAUUCAGUCCCUUCCACUAGUGAAAGCCAACUCCGCUGCCUUCCCCCCAAAAUUUCACUGCCAGUGCAGUUUUUAUGGGAAAUAUGACUGGUUUGAAUGGAAAGCAUAUUAAGCCUAAGAUGCCUAGAAUUCCCAACCUAUGAGCUCAGAGGUUCUCAAACUAUGGAGGCGCGGAAAUGUGUCAAGGGAGGCGUGAGCUGGGUGCCUUUUUUUUUUUUU